AGGUAGUACUAACAUAAAAAGAAAACCCAUAUGACAUGGCGGUCUUUAUUCAUUAAAGGAACUCGCCCCAUAAUCGAUAAUCCCCGAUAAAUUUCACCUAGAUCUACAGCUUAUAUACCGCCGUACAGAGUCAACCAUAAAGCAAGACUCCAAAAAGAAUCAUCUAGCAAUUCAGGUCAAGGUGUAGCCAACGUCCAGGAUGUUGGUAAGUUACAUUAAACAUAAUUUAAGGACGACAAUCAAAAGAAAGUCAGAAAAAGAAUUCAAAAGUAAAAAUAAGACAUAAUCCCACCUAGAAUAUCAAAAUAAAGAUGC
rnacentral:rRNA from 1 species